GUCUGGGAGAGCAGGGCAAAGCCCGAGGUAGUCGCUGCUACCUGCGGUCCCCAAAACAGAAACUGUUAAAGACCAAAAGGUUUGCUGAGGUCCCACCGAGAUUUGAACUCGGAUCGCUGGAUUCAAAGUCCAGAGUGCUAACCAUUACACCAUGGGACCUGCUGGCUGCUUUAGGCGGCCGGGAGUCUUCUCAAGCCACGUGGCCUGCUAGGCGGCUUUUCCAAAGUGCCACCGCCUAGGUGGCUAGGUGCUGGGCCAGGGCCAGACUGGCGAACAGAAGCGCAGCAGGGAAACCUUCCACGUCCCUCGAGUUCCAGGCGUUCCUGAUCCGGGAGUGUCAUCUUUUCCCGCUGCUCUUCCUGCAUUCCUUCAGGGAUCAGGCCCUGCGUCCCAAGAGUCCGGAGGCCGUGAGUUGGCGGCGGCGCUGGGUCGGACUGGGUCAGGAGAAAGUCCCUGGCCGAAGGAGCGGCACACGCAGUUUGGUCUUCGUACUUGUUUAUUUAUUCAUUUAUUUAUUUAUUUACAUUGCGAGCUCUGUGCGCGGGACGUUUUGGCCCAGCGAGGAGGGAAGCGGACUGGCACGUUAGUGGGACAGCGGUUCAAACCCCAGAAGAUGGACAAGCGGAGACUUGAGUAGUGCGCCCCGGCUUCUGGCUCCUGGGCUAGUAGCGCGACGCCAGGAUAAAGUUAACAAGAUUUGCAUUUAUGCGCCUUCUCCACUUUUGCUUGCGCUUUCAGAGUCGCUCAGAGGAACUCUUGCCCGGCCCCCCCGCCCCCCAAAAUGCUCACCUGAUGGGCGACCUGGCUUUAAUCGCUUAGGCUACGACAAGAUCAGUUGAAGAAGACACUCCCCCCUCUGGCCUCUCCUUUAAGUUGACUGAGAUGUAACACGUUUCUGCAGAUCAGUCUGGCAGCCGAUAGAAUUUCGUGUGCCAUUUGACUCAACAAUUUCACCUUUGGACUUGAUCCUAUUGGCAUAGUAAGACUAGUGCCAAGAUAUACGUUCAAGGAUCUUCUCAACUAUGGUGUUCAUUAUAGUGUAGUGUCAAUUGGUAAAUAAUGAAAAUAUAUAUGCAAUAAACACUG
rnacentral:tRNA from 1 species